rnacentral:rRNA from 1 species
GUCUAUGCUGUCAACGAUGAGUGUUAAGUAUGGAUGUACUUGUUACAACAUAGCAACAGCUAACGCGUUAAACACUCCGCCUGGGUACUACGGCCGCAAGGUUGAAACUCAAAGGAAUUGACGGAAGUCUAUACAAGCGGUGGAGUAUGUGGUUUAAUUCGAUAUAAAGCGAAAAACCUUACCAGUUCUAGAAAAUAAGGUAAAUACUAUUUUAAAAAUAGUGUAUAUUUUUAGCGCUACUUAUGGUUGCAAAGAAAUUUAAUAUCUUAAA